rnacentral:misc_RNA from 1 species
GAAAAGUCGUAACAAGGUUUCCGUAGGUGAACCUGCGGAAGGAUCAUUCAUAAUAAAGUGUUUUAUGGCACUUUUUAAAAAUCCAUAUCCACCUUGUGUGCAAUGUUAGAUCUCGUCAAUCUUGGCGAGAUUUUUAUACAUCAACUCAUUCUUUAACUAAUUUGUCUGAAAAAUAUUAUGAAUACUUAAUUCAAAGUACAACUUUCAACAACGGAUCUCUUGGCUCUC